rnacentral:rRNA from 1 species
UACAGAGGUCCCUAGCGUUGUUCGGAUUUACUGGGCGUAAAGGGCACGUAGGUUGUUAGGCGUGUCGAGUGUGAAAUCUCCGGGCUCAGCCCGGAAAGUGCGCUCGAAACUACCUGACUGGAGUGUGGGAGAGGGAAUCGGAAUAUAGGGUGUAGCGGUGAAAUGCGUUGAUAUCCUAUAGAACACCGGAGGCGAAGGCGGAUUCCUGGAACGCAACUGACACUAAGGUGCGAAAGUCGGGGGAGCAAAC